rnacentral:rRNA from 1 species
AUACGUAGGGGACGAGCGUUGUCCGGAAUUACUGGGCGUAAAGGGCGCGCAGGCGGAUAUUUAAGUCAGCUGUAAAAGGCAUGAGCUCAACUCAUGUAUGCGGUUGAAACUGGGUAUCUAGAGUGCUGGAGAGGUAGGCGGAAUUCCCGGUGUAGCGGUGAAAUGCGUAGAUAUCGGGAAGAACACCAGUGGCGAAGGCGGCUUACUGGCCAGCAACUGACGCUGAGGCGCGAAAGCCAGGGGAGCGAACGGGAUUAGAUACCCCGGUAGUCCUGGCAGUAAACGAUGUAUGCUGGGUGUGAGACUAGCGAUAGUUUCGUGCCGAAGUUAACGCGAUAAGCAUACCGCCUGGGGAGUACGGUCGCAAGAUUGAAACUCAAAUGAAUUGACGGGG